rnacentral:rRNA from 1 species
UAGCGUAGGGUGCAAGCGUUGUCCGGAAUUAUUGGGCGUAAAGAGCUCGUAGGCGGUCUGUCGCGUCGGCUGUGAAAACCUGGGCUUAACUCCGGGCCUGCAGCCGAUACGGGCAGACUAGAGUUCGGCAGGGGAGACUGGAAUUCCUGGUGUAGCGGUGAAAUGCGCAGAUAUCAGGAGGAACACCGAUGGCGAAGGCAGGUCUCUGGGCAUUAACUGACGCUGAGGAGCGAAAGCAUGGGGAGCGAACAGG